rnacentral:miRNA from 1 species
CAAGGGAAAUAGAGCGAAUUC